GAUGAAGAACGCAGCGAAAUGCGAUACGUAAUGUGAAUUGCAGAAUUCAGUGAAUCAUCGAAUCUUUGAACGCAUAUUGCGCUCUCUGGUAUUCCGGAGAGCAUGCUUGUUUGAGUAUCAGUAAACACCUCAACUCCCUUUUCUUUUUUGAAAUUGGAGCUGGACUUGAGUGAUCCCAACGCUUUCUUCCAAGAAAGUGGCGGGUUGCUUGAAAUGCAGGUGCAGCUGAACUUUUCUCUGAGCUAUAAGCAUAUCUAUUUAGUCUGCCUAAAAAACAGAUUAGUACCUUUGCUGCAGCUAACAUAAAGGAGAUUAGUUCUUGUGCUGACUGAUGCAGGAUUCACAGAGACAGCUUCGGCUGGCCUUUGUAAACUCGAUCUCAAAUCAAGUAAGACUACCCGCUGAACUUAAGCAUAUCAAUAAGCGAGGA
rnacentral:misc_RNA from 1 species